rnacentral:misc_RNA from 1 species
CACAUGUGUCCCGCCCCGUGGGGCCUGUCUCCGCUGCUCUUGGGCACGAGCGGGCAUCAAAGUUGACCCGCGGUCUCGCACCACCGCCGCCAGAGAGAGACACGCCCUACCAUCGCGCGUGCUCGAUGGAUCUCCACCUCUGCAUCUGCAUGCGCUCGCCACCAUAUCUUCAUCUCGUCAAGCACUUGCACCAGAUCUCAGUCUGCCCGCAUCGCCUUUGGAACCGCCACCGCCGCAGACAAUGAGAUCCGCCACUGUGGGUGCCCCCGUCAUCGCGGACAACGAGACCCACAACCACAAGAUCCACAACCAUCGCGAGGUCCGCCUUGGACGUCGGGGGUGGCUACACCGCCACCAGGAGAGGA